CCGGGAAACCGGGGCUAAUACCGGAUGGUUGUCUGAACCGCAUGGUUCAGACAUAAAAGGUGGCUUCGGCUACCACUUACAGAUGGACCCGCGGCGCAUUAGCUAGUUGGUGAGGUAACGGCUCACCAAGGCGACGAUGCGUAGCCGACCUGAGAGGGUGAUCGGCCACACUGGGACUGAGACACGGCCCAGACUCCUACGGGAGGCAGCAGUAGGGAAUCUUCCGCAAUGGACGAAAGUCUGACGGAGCAACGCCGCGUGAGUGAUGAAGGUUUUCGGAUCGUAAAGCUCUGUUGUUAGGGAAGAACAAGUGCCGUUCAAAUAGGGCGGCACCUUGACGGUACCUAACCAGAAAGCCACGGCUAACUACGUGCCAGCAGCCGCGGUAAUACGUAGGUGGCAAGCGUUGUCCGGAAUUAUUGGGCGUAAAGGGCUCGCAGGCGGUU
rnacentral:rRNA from 1 species